rnacentral:rRNA from 1 species
GACGAACGCUGGCGGCGUGCUUAACACAUGCAAGUCGAGCGGAGCGGCGAACGGGUGAGUAACGCGUGAGUAACUGCCCCCCUCUCUGGGAUAACAGUUGGAAACGGCUGCUAAUACCGGAUAGUGGGGGAUGACUCGCGUCCUAUCAGCUUGUUGGUGGGGUAGUGGCCUACCAAGGCGACGACGGGUAGCCGGCCUGAGAGGGCGACCGGCCACAUUGGGAUGAGAGACGGCCAAAACUCCUACGGGGGGAAGCGGUGGUGAUGAUUGCAAAAUGGGGGAACCCGGGAUGCAGCAACGCCGCGGGCGGGAUGACGGCCUUCGGGUUGUAAACCGCUUUCAGCCAUGACGCGGUAGUGGCAGAAGAAGCACCGGCGAACUACGUGCCAGCAGCCGCGGUAAUAC